CUGUCCUGAGAUCGGGUAUAAUUUUGAUUUGUCUCUUCAGAUGACGUUUCUUUUCUGCUUAUAUCAUGACUGAAAAUUUUUGUUGAAAGAUAACUUGAUAUCUUGAUAUUAGGAACUGAGUUAAAUAGGCCUUUAAUGUCAAGUUUUAUAGUAAUCUGAUUAGAAAUUAAAUUGUGUUUAAUGUUAGCCAUAGGUGGAGGUACCAAGAUUUUCAAAUUAUUUAAAUAUUCUUAUUUUUCCCCGUAUUAUCUUUAGAUGUUCCUAAAAUUCCAUUUUAAUUCAAUCUGAGACUUGCAGUUAUAGAACCUGUUGCACAUGAUAUUUACCAUGGAGCCUUAUGUUAUUAUGGUGGUAGGGAAUUGCAGAAAGGAGACAUUCUACAAUAUUAUGAUUAAAUCAUUCUUUUAGUGGACCUCUGUCCCUUAGGUAUGACCUCAGGAGUGUUUUUUCUUCCUUAGGUGAGACAGAAAGAUUAACCAGCAUUGGAGUUGGGAAUUGUACUUCCACCUAUGUGAGGAAUGUAUAUCCAACUAUCCCAAACAGGAAGUGAUGUUAUGUUCCCCAGGAUGGCCUUGAACUCCUGUUCUCAAGUGAGUCUCUCACUACAGGAUCCAAAGUAGCUGGGACUACAGUUAUUAAAAGACAUGUUGGCUCAUUCCAAUUUGUGGCAAUUAUGAAUAAAGCUGCUACAAAUAUUUGUAUGCGGAUUUGUGUGGACAUAGAUUUGCUCAUUGAAGGAAAUAAUUAAGAAUACAAUUGUUGGAUCUAAUGAUGUCAUGCCCCACAGAUGUCUGGAAAUGGGAAUUUGCACCUCAACUUUUUAUAUUGAGAGACUUUUUAAUCCUGCCUGGGCAUGAUACCUGAGUGUCUCCUGGUCCGUUCGGGACACAUCUCUGCUUUAUCAGUACAGUGUGGCCAAUUACUUAUGACAGUGGCCCCAAGCUGCUGAGCUGCGUUCUGAAGAUCAAUGCCAGGCACUGUUAGAACAUUUACCAGUCCAUAGCAAAAUUAGAAAAGGUAGAAAUAACAUAAAUUAUGUUCUAUGUAAAGCUAAAUGCCUUUGAUUUAAAGAUAGCCCUGUAACAUGAAGUUAUUUUCUCAGUAUUAAAAUGUCCCUUUUGUUCACAUCACAGAGGCAAAAUAAAAAGUUGUCAAGACUCUGUGAGCA